ensembl:lincRNA A830008E24Rik uncharacterized LOC110290999
AUCAAAGUAUAAUGUCUCCACCCAGGGCCAGAGGUGCUCUAUCCUUUUGAACAAACUUUUAAGGAGUGGAAAAGCUGAUACCUAACUAGGGAAACGGGAAGCGGGACCCAGAGCUUCGGUGGCCUUGAAGAACUCGAUCCUGGGAUGUGCUGAGAUCUCCACUGGUGCCUACCAAGCAACCCAAAUUCAUCAUCUCACAGUUGCAGCUGGCAUACAAAACCAGAGACGCUGUUUCUCCAUCUUCUAAGGCCCCCUAUGCUCAAGAUGACACUGAAAUUAUCUCAAAAUGGAGAAAGUUUUAAUUUUGCGCUGUGGAAUGGAAGAUAGAGGUAAAAGAUGGGAAGGACAGUGGACAAUCUGGUUCAGGUUCACAGGAAAGACUCAUCCUGAUGAAGAAUUCAGGCACAUUGACCGUUCAGAGCUUUAGAUCCAAGAGAAGAGGAGUUGCCUUGACUCUAUUAUGUUCCUGAGUUUGACAGAAAGAGGUUCCUUGGCUGUGCAGAGUUCAAAGUCAGCCUUGAAUAAACUGGAGACACUCUCAAAAAUGCAAGC